UGGGGAAUCUUAGACAAUGGGCGCAAGCCUGAUCUAGCCAUGCCGCGUGAGCGAUGAAGGCCUUAGGGUUGUAAAGCUCUUUCAGUGGGGAAGAUAAUGACUGUACCCACAGAAGAAGCCCCGGCUAACUCCGUGCCAGCAGCCGCGGUAAUACGGAGGGGGCUAGCGUUGUUCGGAAUUACUGGGCGUAAAGCGCACGUAGGCGGACCAGAAAGUAGGGGGUGAAAUCCCGGGGCUCAACCUCGGAACU
rnacentral:rRNA from 1 species